UCAUUUAAUUGGAACUGGCUUACAGUUCAGAGGUUUAGUCCAGUACAGUCACAAUGGGAAGCAUGGCAGAGUGUGGGCAGGCACGGUGUUAUCAAGACAGCUAAGAGUUCUACAUCUGGAUUCUCAAGCAGCAGAAAGAGAGAAUAAGCCACUGAACCUGGCUUGAGCCUUUGAAACCUCAAAGCCCACCUCAAUGACACACUUCCUCCAAGGCCACACCUCCUAAGAGUACCACACCCUGUGGGCCUAUGGGGGCCAUUUUUAUUCAGUCUUGUUUUGUAUAUUCCUGUGAGCUGGCCCCUCUGUGACAACUUCUGCAGAAUCAAGAGCCUGGAAGGUUCUAGCUCAUCCCUGCAAACUACACUGAGGCCUGCUAAGCUAGCCCAUCCUGACAAUCUUGGGUCAGCAAAUGUGGGCCCACAUCAACCUUUCUAACUUAUGCUGCCUGGAAACGACUCCUCUUACAGAGACUGAGCAUAUGGAUGCUGAAUGUGACAACACAGCUCAACAAAAUAGGGUGAAGAAAGGAGAUCCCGUCCAACUGGACGCCACUGGUUCAAGCAUUGUCUGUUAGCUUGAUGAAUACAGAAAGAGUCUAGAAGAUGAGUGGACUUGCCUAAGGACACACAAUUGUGCUAAGCUAGCUUGAGCUACACAGCCAGAUCAGACCCUACUUCAACCACAGAAAGAUCUGCACUUGCCAUGAGCAUGUAGAGACACCAGAAAGGAGGAGACUGGACUGAAUCAGGAACGUCCUCAGAGGUAGGUCGGGUCAGCCCAAUCUUAUUGUUGUGGAGCCCUAGAUCUCUGCCUAAGGGUUUGAUCAAAGGUGGUUUGAUUAUUUCUGUGCUCUGAUAAAAAUACUCUGACAAAAUGCAUCACAGAGAGGAAUGUUUAUUUGGUUUAGAGUCCAUUGUUGUGGAGGAAGUUAGGGACAGGCAUCUUAACAUCACACCGUCUCCACAGUCAGUACCAGAGAGAAGCAAGCACACCCAUGCUGCCUCCCUGCUCACUGUCAGCUAGAUUUCUCCACUCCAUCUCUCAGGGUCUGUCCCAGGAAAUGGUACUUACUGCCUUCCUUCAGGGUGGGUCUUCCCACCUCAAUUUACAGACAAGACACCCACAACACACCAGACCAACCCACAGGCCAUCCCUCAGUAAGACUUUUCUUAGAUGAUUUUAGGCUGACAGUUAAAAAGCAAUUGGCAAAGACAGGUCACCUGUAAUAGACAGACAUUGCAUCUGUGGGCAAGGAAAUGUCCCAGGACCAAUUCUGGCAUCUCAUAGUCAACCUUUAGAUGCAAAGUGUCCACCUCCUUGCUACCAGGACAAAGGACAUGAUGUCUCCUGUCAGCUACUAGUCCCACAAAGGCUGUACCCCUAUAUGAAACUCAUCUGUUGACGUUGGUGCCAGCAGAGCAGCAGCCCUGAUUGGAUGCUGACGACAGCAGUGGUAGCAGCCACGGUGAGCCCCUGACACCCAGGACUUGGACAUGGUAGAGGGCUGCUAGCCCAUCUUUCAGUGGUGGUUGGUGAGUUCACUGAGUCAGACCUACAGUGUGCUCUGGGGCACUAUUCUUAGAAGCUUACUGGAAAGGUCCCCUCCUCCAGUGCCUCUGUGGGCCCCUAACAUCUUUCACCCUUUCACCUUUCAGCUUAAAGCAGCUAGGAUUUCUACUCAAGAACUCUGACAGAGACCAAAGCAAGCUGGAGCCUGGAAGACUUGGAGGACUGGCUUGUUGACUGCAGGGCAAAGGCAACUUUCUCCACUGUACUGAGCCUCUCUUAGAAGUCAGCAGCCUCUGUGCUCACUAGUGCUUUGCCUAUGUGGGAUGGGAGGCAUCAAGGCAGAGAACAGAAAAGCCACAAUACCUUGGCUUCUUGGUGACAUCAGCACACUGCUGGGAGGGCUCUAGCCCCACAGAGCCCUGGACAGUCCCAUCACUGAACUAAUAACCAACUCAUGUGGUUUCUAUCCCCAGCAACCCAAGCAUUCACACUGUACGAGACAAAGGCAAUGAUUUCUGGGGUGUAGACACACACAUACCCAGCCAUGCCUAAGCUGCUCUGACUGCCGUGCAUGCUCUGUAUGCAUCUGUUCUCUCCAUCAGCCUUAUCCACAUCAACCCUGUUGGGAUACACACAUUUCAUUCUGUAAAGUAUACCCUCUCCCUGUUCCUCCCUGCCCUUUGAUGGGCAAAGUGAUCUCCUGCCUCAAUUCACACAACUACUAAGUUGGGAAGCUGAAGGAUGCCCAGAUUCCAGGCUUUUAUCCACUGUGUUUAAUGGCAUUGCUACCCAACCUCAUUACAUUGCAAAGUAGAAUCUGUAGCUUUGAACCAGCUCCCUCGCUUUGCUGCAGAGGACAAAUCCAGCUUGGUCUCUUACUCUCUGUUCAUGAUCAUACUUUCUGUUGUGUUUUGUUUAUUUGAAACAGGGUCUCAUGUAGCCAAGGCCAACCUCAGAGAGCUCCUGAUCUUUUUGCCUCUACCUCCCAAGUACUAAGAUUGUAGGUAUAUUACAGGUGCUCACCACACCAGUCUUCAGGCCCACUCUGAAAUGAAGUUGACAGGACCACCUUCUUGGAAGCUGACUAUCGUCGGUGCUGCUUAACAAAGGUGUUUGGCUCCCCACUAUGUCAGUGCACACAUGAUGGAACUUCUGGUUCUCUCGGUCAGGUCACGGUCUGCUCAAAGAUUGUGAAUAGAGGGAGAACGCAACAGUUUCUGGUACAAAAUAUUAAAAGCUAGAAUGAGACAGGGUUCUAUCUGUCCAGCAGAGCAGUGCUCUGGACAGCGGUGGCUCUGCCAAGCAGAGUCCCUAGCCCACACAAUAUGAGUUAAGCAUGAGCGCUCUGGUUCUAAGCCAUCUAGAACUGGGCCUUGAUGGAUAUCCUAGUGUGCAUUGGUCUGUCUCACUGACUGUUUUCUCCUCCACAGGUAUUAGUCUUGUAUUUAUGAAUUCAUUUCAACUGAGGAAAUGAUGUUUUAAAUGGCAUCUCUACUGAGGGGAGAACCUAAGUGAGCAGCAUGGCAACUCUUUAUAUCACGUUUACUCUGUAGUGUAUUAAAGCAAUCCAAAAAUG
rnacentral:sRNA from 1 species